UAUGAUAGAGGAAAGCAGAAUUUCUAGUGUAGAGGUGAAAUUCGUAGAUAUUAGAAAGAAUACCAAUUGCGAAGGCAGCUUUCUGGAUCAUUACUGACACUGAGGAACGAAAGCAUGGGUAGCGAAGAGGAUUAGAUACC
rnacentral:rRNA from 1 species